UAGUAUAUCAGCUGCUAUCAUGAUUCCAUCAAGUAUCAAGGAAUGAAGAAGCUCCUCCCUGCCUAGUGAGCCUUCCUGUGGACUGUUUAGCCAGAAUAUAGGUAAUGGCUGAUCCUAUGAGUCAUCAACCAGGUAAGAGCAUGUGACUUUCUCAUGUGACACUGGACUUCAUCUUGUGCCUGUAAUUUUCCAAAAACUAAGACUGAGCAUCCCCUCCACAUGGGAGAAGGUAUAAAAGACCUUGGAAGCAUCUCCAUUUUGCCUCUUUCCUUCUCUGAUCUCCGGACUAUGGACUGACACUAAAAGAAAUAUUCCAACCAAUGAACUAAGGACCUUCCAACCUUUUGGAAAUUACCAGAGACUUUACAAGACAGCGAUCUAUAACAUCACUGCUUCAAACCUGCUACAAGAAUUCUGCAAUGAUUCCAGGCACAAGUCAACAGCAUUCCAGCUUACACACCUUCUGUUAAUGAAGGGAAAGGAGCGAUGACACACUGCCAGGAACUCUCUGCUUCUCUGAGGUGUGUAACCUGGAGGCACAGAUGAACUGCUCAGUCUGGAGCAUCUUCCAGAUUCACUGUGGAGGGAAGCAAGGCUCGCUUUGGCUGCACAGUGCCAUCACCUCUACAUGGCAGUCCUGAGUACCAGGGAUUUAUAUAGGAAAAAA